ACACAUGCAAGUCGAGGGGCAGCAUGAACUUAGCUUGCUAAGUUUGAUGGCGACCGGCGCACGGGUGAGUAACACGUAUCCAACCUGCCGAUGACUCGGGGAUAGCCUUUCGAAAGAAAGAUUAAUACCCGAUGGCAUAGUUCUUCCGCAUGGUAGAACUAUUAAAGAAUUUCGGUCAUCGAUGGGGAUGCGUUCCAUUAGGUUGUUGGCGGGGUAACGGCCCACCAAGCCUUCGAUGGAUAGGGGUUCUGAGAGGAAGGUCCCCCACAUUGGAACUGAGACACGGUCCAAACUCCUACGGGAGGCAGCAGUGAGGAAUAUUGGUCAAUGGACGAGAGUCUGAACCAGCCAAGUAGCGUGAAGGAUGACUGCCCUAUGGGUUGUAAACUUCUUUUAUACGGGAAUAAAGUGAGGCACGUGUGCCUCUUUGUAUGUACCGUAUGAAUAAGGAUCGGCUAACUCCGUGCCAGCAGCCGCGGUAAUACGGAGGAUCCGAGCGUUAUCCGGAUUUAUUGGGUUUAAAGGGAGCGUAGGCGGACGCUUAAGUCAGUUGUGAAAGUUUGCGGCUCAACCGUAAAAUUGCAGUUGAUACUGGGUGUCUUGAGUACAGUAGAGGCAGGCGGAAUUCGUGGUGUAGCGGUGAAAUGCUUAGAUAUCACGAAGAACUCCGAUUGCGAAGGCAGCUUGCUGGACUGUAACUGACGCUGAUGCUCGAAAGUGUGGGUAUCAAACAGGAUUAGAUACCCUGGUAGUCCACACAGUAAACGAUGAAUACUCGCUGUUUGCGAUAUACAGUAAGCGGCCAAGCGAAAGCGUUAAGUAUUCCACCUGGGG
rnacentral:rRNA from 1 species